rnacentral:rRNA from 1 species
AGGCAGCAGUGAGGAAUAUUGGUCAAUGGGCGGGAGCCUGAACCAGCCAAGCCGCGUGAAGGAGGAAGGCGCCAGGCGUCGUAAACUUCUUUUGUCGGGGAACAAAGGGCGCCACGCGUGGCGUUGUGAGUGUACCCGAAGAAAAAGCAUCGGCUAACUCCGUGCC